ensembl:misc_RNA 7SK 7SK RNA
GAAUGUGAAGGUGACUAGGCUGUGACAUCUGUGACCCCAGUGAUUACCAGGGUUGAGUCCCCAGCUCUGACUGGCUAAACAGUUGUUCCCUUUUUCCCUCCUAGGUGUCCCCAUCUAAAACAGAAACUACACACACCGUCAGAGGGCACCUCUCCCCUAUGUAGGAUGACUGUUCUUUCCUCAAAGAUAUGUAAGCAAAUGCCUUCCCCUGUUAGAAACUUCAAACACACUCACCAGAUCAGUUUAUAAGAGAAUGUUCAGUAGUGAAGCUUCCAAGACUCCAGACACACCCCAAUGAGGCACCAUGACAGUCUACCUUGUUUU